rnacentral:lncRNA from 1 species
UAUACACACACACAAACACACACACGCACAGCAAAAAGAAUAAAGAAAUGUUCACAUAAAUGAACUCUGAUCUAUUAAGCACAGAAGCUUUUCAUUUUAACUUUUAAAAUAUUUUCUAUUAUAUAUGAUUCAGUUACCUAAGAGUAUACUAGAUAUAAUUUAGCUACUUCUUUAUGAUUCUGGAGACAGAACUAUGAACCUCUGUUACUACAUUUGUGCUACAAUAGUGAUUUCUUCCAGGGCUGUUAGAAGGAGUGAAGACUACGGCUUACACUAAAUGACCCACAGACUGUAACACUGUCUGGUAGUAAGCAGAUCUCUUAUGAAAAGGUAUAUGAAACUGUGACAUUUGGCCAUUUUUGAUCUACAGUCCAAUUUCAUAUGAUAUAACCAAUAAUCCUUGAGGUUAGGGCUUCAGAACCUUCUUCUCCGAUGUCACUGCUCCCAGUCUCCCGGGGUGGAAUGUCUGCUUGCCCCAUGCUGCUUCUAAUAUUUGUCACCACUUCUAGUGCCCACCUCAUCUCUGAUGCUAUUUUUCUUUUUUUAAAAAAAUCUUUUUUCUGUCAUUUCAACAUAAUGUAACACAUACCUCUCUACUUACACCUCAAUGGUUGUGGUUUUUUUUUUUUUUUUUUUCUAAUGCUGUCACUUCAGGCCAAACAAUAAUAUCAUCCUGUUGGGUACAAUCAAAGGUAUACUAUUGGGUGAAAGAAUAGUGACAGACUUUUUAACUUCCAGAUUAACCUGUGUCCUGAAAAAGAGGUGUCACUGAAUACAAAAGCCAUCAAUUAUAAAAGUUAAUUUAUAAUUUAUAAUUAUAAUUUCAUUCUCCCAAAAAGCUUCUUUUAAAAAGCAGACUCCCAGUUUCGGGUUGGUAUUGUCUUUAAGUCAUUUAUACUUUGACAGAGACAAAGUGAAACCUAAUUGUUUCAAGCCAUCGACACAUGAUCAAUCAGAAAGGAAGAUAAAAGAUAAGAUCAUGGAAUGUCUGAAUUGUAGGAUCAUUUACUCAUUCAUUCCACUGAUAAUUAUUGAGUGUCUACGUUGUGCCAGAAUUUUCUCCGCACCUUAAAGAGGCAACCUGUGGCCUGUAGAAUCGAAUUAUUUUUUCUAAGACAUAAGUCAGGCUUUCUAAAAGGUAGCUCAGUAUUUUUUCUUGUUAGAAAUUAUAAUGUAUCAUUAGAAAAAUAAGACUUUACUAGAAUGAUUAAUGUGUCACUUUUAUGAAGGCAUGGCUUACAUGCUUUCUCCUAGGCCAUGCAGUACAGCAAUGGAUGUGAUAGCAUAAACAGCCAAUGAGCCCUCUCUUGUGAUGGAGCUCUGUCUUUAGAAUCCAGGUAAUUGUAGAUAGAGUGUGCUGGAUCUUUCCGUAGGCUCACCCUCCCUCAGCCUUGUCUGCGCCCCAGGCUCCCAGUUAUGAUGGAAGGUAGAAACUGACUUUCUUGUCCUUAGGAUUUGGUUAGGUUCAGCCAGUGGGAGGCCCUGAUUUCCCCCCUAAUCUCUCCAUCUCUUAGUUGGGCUCUGGGUUGGGUGUGGCUGGGUGUGACCAGGGCUUCUGCCAGGCAGCCCACUUCCGCCGCUGUUCUCUCUCCCCAUAUUCCCGAGCCGCUUUCCCCUCUUGCUCCUUCAGGCCUAAGAUGGGAAAGGACCUCACCAGGUGCCAGAUGGGAAGGCUUCAUUAGCUAUUGCUUGAGGUAGAAUGAAGUUUUGUGGGGCAUGAGGCAUAUGUUAUUUUGAGAGUUUUCUUUAAGACAAAGAACACAAAAUUCUGGCUUAUAGAUUUUAAGGAGAGGGCCUUGGAAGAGGCCAUGUGAAAGAAGAACCCUGAAGCCUAAGGUUUUUUUUAGCCCUUCUUGGCUUCCUUAAAACCUCGCCCACACUUUGUAAAUAGUCCUUCACUACUUUCCUUAAUUACACAACUUGAGUGUGCUAUAUGUUUCCUGUGCUGGGAUCCUGACUAAUUCUACUGUGUGCCUAAUUAUGACUAACAAGUACCCCAGAAGGUUUCUCUACCUGUACUUUGAAUAGUCUCCCCAACAUUCUCUUUUUCUCACAAAGCUAUCCGGCUGAAUUAAUUUGCUUUACAGUUGAGAUGUAUUAUCCUAAUUCGGCGAUUUUUUUUCUUAUGCAUAAUGUGUAAUUAAAAGGAGAUAGAGUAGUUUGAAAUUUAUAGCAAAAGUAUUUCUUAUUCUACCUCCUGGAUUAUAUGCAUAUCCUGAUUAACAUAAUCAAAUUACUGACAAGUUAGUUCCUAACUAAAAUUUAGCCAAACUGGAAAAUGGAAAUGUGUUCCUUGUGAAGUCAUCAAAUCAGUUCCUUUUUAUUAACUUGUAACCCAGAAAGUACAUUCCUUAUGCAAUUUAAAAAGAAUGACUUGUGCAAUAAUUCAUGUCAAAGAUCAAGAAUGGUUACUUUAAAGCACUUAAAAGCCACUGGUGAGUCUCAGAAUCUAAGUACUAAAGAACCAAGGACUAAACUUCAGUUGGGUCAUCCAUGUAUAAAUGAUAUGAUGCAGGAGAUGGUGAUUAAGUUGGGGGAAAGAGGGUGAAGCGGCCCUUGGAGACAACUAACACAGCCUGCCUGCCCCGACCAGGCACAGCUACAGCCAAGUCAGAGGCCCUGGGGCUGACUGGGACCCAGAAGAGAAAUGAGAGCUGGAGAAGAGGAACAGACAAGCCUCUCCAACACAGCACGGACUCUAGCUAGGCUGGCUCUGAGACUUCUAGUGACCUUGAGACCUCAUAACUUCAGAAAUCCUUUAUCCUCCAGCCUAUCAACAAUCAAGAGUCAGACAACAGUGUAUCAUGGAAUGGACAGUGGUUUGGGGCAAUCACCUAUCACCGAACCUGAGGCAAUGUUCCCUGUAAAAGACAAAAGACACAUCUACCUGCCUUCAGCCUCCAUCAGCAUUUUCCAGUUUUUGAUCAGGAGUCAGUCCUUUUGCAUGCAGCCUCCACACAGGUGGCUCAUGCUGAGGAGCCUUUGUACUGAGACCUUCAUUAAUAAGCAUACGCAAUAACUGCUCUGACACGACUUGUGAGUAUUUCAUCAUUUUGUUUAAAUAAAGUGUUUGAAAAAAGGGUAAUGCUUUGUGGUUAUCAUAAUGAAUGAAAUAAAUAUAGCAAGCCUGUAGUUUUGUUUUUAAACAAACCAAUGAAAUUCUCUUGCAAGAGGAGGCUUCGUUAAAUUAAUAUCACACAGCAAUUAGAGGAAGACCUGCCAGUUUUAGUUACUUUCCAGCCUUAAUCAAGAUAUUAUACUAUAUCAUGAGGACACAUUUUUUUGAAGUACAAGUUGAAAAAUGAUCAAGUGCUCAUCAAGAGCAACAGGCCUUUUCACAGAGUGUGAGAAAGGGAAUGGGAAUUUGGCACACCUUCUACUUUCUGCUCCCUUAGCCAAAUUUGCCAGGGGUCAAUUCUAGCUUGAGGACUUUCCUCACAUGCUCAUUCUUUCUGUGAAUCUGUAUUCCUGCUCCUGACUCUAUGACUGAGUUCUGCAAUGCACAGAGGUGGGGCUAAAUGCAAAGGAAAGCAAAAUUGCCAGCACCUGAUGUUCCUCCCACAUUUGCUAGCCCUGCCCUUCCAUAUCAUAUUGGAAAAAAAUUCAUAUAAACAUAUUUCAGCUACGAGUCACAGAUGAUGUACAUGUGGAUAAAUGUAGAGAAAGUGUUCAUAGGGCCCUACAAAUCUUCUGAGUGUAAAAAAUAUGACAUUUCUGAAAGAUAUAAUCUUUAAUUCACUAUCCUUUAUUUUAAUCUCCUCAAUCUAUUUUAUUAGGUUUCGAUUAGUUCCUCUUUCAUAGCCUACCUGGUGAACUGCUCCCCCCUAAACUAAGCUACAGAAUUUUCUUUCUGUCCUUAUUCCUUUAGCAAACCUCAUGCCAGGCAAGCCUGGCUUAAAGAUGGUUAUGCCACAGUUGUUGCUUCCCCAAAGGGGAAAUGCAGGGGAAACAGCCUGCAUUCACACCAGGGUGAAGGAGGGAUUCUCCUGGCUCUUUUAAGAAGCCAACAGCAUUACAUCACUCCAGCUUUGUAGAUAUAUUUCACUAAACAGUAGGUAGACAUUCUGAGAGGGAAAUGACAACUGUAAUGUGGACUAAGGACUCCCCUCUUUGGUUGGCUUUUCAUGCCCUGCUGGAGUCAUGAGUCUCUCCGUAGAAGACAAAUUCUUCCUAUAGUUCUUUAUGUUUCUUCACCUAUGCACAUUUUAGACAUUUUAGGCAUUUAAUCUCUGUUUCUCCAGAUAUUAAUGAACAAACUCAAUGCAUCAUUUACAGAGGAUAAUUUUGUGUUCUUAUUUCUGGAUAAAAUAAAAUGAACAGAAACUACAACCAAACUAA